GUGGGGAAUCUUGCGCAAUGGGCGAAAGCCUGACGCAGCCAUGCCGCGUGAAUGAUGAAGGUCUUAGGAUUGUAAAAUUCUUUCACCGGGGACGAUAAUGACGGUACCCGGAGAAGAAGCUCCGGCUAACUUCGUGCCAGCAGCCGCGGUAAUACGAAGGGGGCUAGCGUUGCUCGGAAUUACUGGGCGUAAAGGGCGCGUAGGCGGACAGCUUAGUCAGAGGUGAAAGCCCAGGGCUCAACCUUGGAAUUGCCUUUGAUACUGGCUGUCUUGAGUGUGGGAGAGGUGAGUGGAACUCCGAGUGUAGAGGUGAAAUUCGUAGAUAUUCGGAAGAACACCAGUGGCGAAGGCGACUCACUGGCCCAAUACUGACGCUGAGGCGCGAAAGCGUGGGGAGCAAACAGGAUUAGAAACCCGAGUAGUCC
rnacentral:rRNA from 1 species